rnacentral:rRNA from 1 species
AUUGAACGCUGGCGGCAUGCUUUACACAUGCAAGUCGAACGGUAACACGCCGCAAGUUGCUGACUAGUGUCGAACGCGUGAGUAAUGCAUCCGAAUGUGCCCAGUCGUUGUGGAUCACUACUCGCUAGAGUAGCUAAUACCUCAUACGAGCUAUGGAUGAGAACGGGGUACCUUAAAGCUUCGCGCGAUUCUUGCGGCCGAUGACAGAUUAGGUAGUUGGUGGGGUAAAGGCUCACCAAGGCAACGAUCUGUAGCUGGUCUGAGAGGACGACCAGCCACACUGGGACUGAGACACGGCCCAGACUCCUACGGGAGGCAGCAGUGGGGAAUUUUGGACAAUGGGCGCAAGCCUGAUGCAGCAAUGCCGCGUGCAGGAAGAAGGCCUUCGGGUUGUAAACUGCUUUUGUACGGAACGAAACGGCUCUGGUUAAUACCCGGGGCUAAUGACGGUACCGUAUGAAUAAGCACCGGCUAACUACGUG